rnacentral:rRNA from 1 species
CCUACGGGAGGCAGCAGUGAGGAAUAUUGGUCAAUGGGAGAGAUUCUGAACCAGCCAAGCCGCGUGAGGGAAGACGGCCCUAUGGGUUGUAAACCUCUUUUGUCGGAGAACAAAACCCGGGACGUGUCCCGGACUGCGUGUAUCCGACGAAAAAGCAUCGGCUAACUCCGUGCCAGCAGCCGCGGUAAUACUGGGGAUCCGAGCGUUAUCCGGAUUUAUUGGGUUUAAGGGGUUCGUAGGCGGUCCGUUAAGUCAGCGGUAAAAUUGCGGGGCCCAACCCCGUCGAGCCGUUGAAACUGGCGGACUAGAGAUGGCGAGAAGUACGCGGAAUGUGCGGUGUAGCGGUGAAAUGCAUAGAGAUCGCGCAGAACACCGAUUGCGAAGGCAGCGUACCGGCGCCAGACUGACGCUGAGGCACGAAAGCGUGGGGAUCGAACAGGAUUAGAUACCCGUGUAGUC